UACGAGGGGGGCGAGCGUUGUUCGGAAUUAUUGGGCGUAAAGGGUGCGUAGGCGGUUUGAUAAGUCUGAUGUGAAAUCUAUGGGCUCAACCCAUAGUCUGCAUUAGAAACUGUCGGGCUUGAGUAUAGUAGGGGUAAAGGGAAUUUCCAGUGGAGCGGUGAAAUGCGUAGAGAUUGGAAAGAACACCGAUGGCGAAGGCACUUUACUGGGCUAUUACUAACACUCAGAGACGAAAGCUAGGGUAGCAAAUGGG
rnacentral:rRNA from 1 species